CUAAAAGACUAAAUCAAGAAAAGAUGAAAUAGAUCUUGAUGAAAUUCUUGCAUGAUUAGAAGUAAAGAUCACCAUUAUCAUUUGCUUGCUUUAUGAGCUUUAUAUUCUAUCAAAUGAGUGUGUAGAAUGGACUCCUAUGUGCUUACUUUAUUAAAGAAGAUAUAUGUUAAAUAACCACCAUAUUUGAAAACACUCAUUACAAAUAUGAUAA
rnacentral:lncRNA from 1 species